AAGCGACUAAGCGUACACGGUGGAUGCCCUGGCAGUCAGAGGCGAUGAAGGACGUGCUAAUCUGCGAUAAGCGUCGGUAAGGUGAUAUGAACCGUUAUAACCGGCGAUUUCCGAAUGGGGAAACCCAGUGUGUUUCGACACACUAUCAUUAACUGAAUCCAUAGGUUAAUGAGGCGAACCGGGGGAACUGAAACAUCUAAGUACCCCGAGGAAAAGAAAUCAACCGAGAUUCCCCCAGUAGCGGCGAGCGAACGGGGAGGAGCCCAGAGCCUGAAUCAGUGUGUGUGUUAGUGGAAGCGUCUGGAAAGGCGCGCGAUACAGGGUGACAGCCCCGUACACAAAAAUGCACAUA
rnacentral:rRNA from 1 species